UCUGCUUUAGCACUCAGACAUUUCACUCACUUUUAUCCACCUUUCCCCAGUUCGGGAAAUUUCUGUUUUUUCCUCGGUCAUAGUGAGCCGCUUCUUAAAGCAAUAUAUGUGGAACCCUAAGAAAACGUCUUUAGGCCUUCUGAGGCAAAUGGUGGACUCGUUGUGACCCCGCAGCUUCCUGAGAAGCUAAAAGGAGAAGUACAUCAGACUGCUGCGUGCUGUGGGUGGCUCCCGGAGGUACCGCCCAUACUGAAGGCGAACAAUACCGCGCAUAGUGAAAGCAGGAGCCUUUUCAAGAUGAGCUGCAAGAGGAGAUGAUGCCCUGAACUAGGGCCCAUGGAAUACAACUGGAUGUUGCCAGGAGGUGGGGACACUAUUCCUAGAGAACCCCAUGAAGGGCACAUCACUGCAGACCACAGCUCAGACCUAAUGAAGGCCUGAAGACACCCGCAGUUCUUGGCCAUGUUCAUCACACACUAUGUGUUGCUGCAUUUGCUGGGUUCCUCCCUUGCAGUGGAAAUGACAGAACGAAAACUUGCAGCAGAAGGAUCCUCUGUCGUGCUGCAUGCACCGGCAAUCAGCAAUAUGAACAUCACCGAGUGGGAAUACAUAG